CCUACGUGAGGCAGCAGUGAGGAAUAUUGGUCAAUGGGCGGAAGCCUGAACCAGCCAAGUAGCGUGCAGGAUGACGGCCCUACGGGUUGUAAACUGCUUUUAUCCGGGAAUAACGCGCCUUACGUGUAGGGCUUUGCAUGUACCGUAUGAAUAAGGACCGGCUAAUUCCGUGCCAGCAGCCGCGGUAAUACGGAAGGUCCGGGCGUUAUCCGGAUUUAUUGGGGUUAAAGGGAGCGAAGGCCGCAUGUCAAGCGUGCUGUGAAAUGGCCGGGCUCAACCCGGGCCUUGCAGCGCGAACUGGCGUGCUUGAGUCGGCGGAAAGCAGGCGGAAUUCGUGGUGUAGCGGUGAAAUGCUUAGAUAUGACGAAGAACCCCGAUUGCGAAGGCAGCUUGCUGCAGCGGAACUGACGCUGAUGCUCGAAAGCGCGGGUAUCGAACAGGAUUAGAUACCCUAGUAGUC
rnacentral:rRNA from 1 species